GAUCGAGCUACAUUGAUUUCAAAAUAAUUUAGUUAUGUAAAUAUUAAAAUACUCAUUAAUAAUUCAUAAAUCUUGUGGCAAUCAUGUCAGCCAUAAUAUUAAUAUGUCACGUGGAAUGACUUUAUAUCUGAUAAAACUGAUCUUCAUUAUAUUCUUUAUAUAAUUGUUCAUCCUAAUUAGCAUUCUUUUGUAGUCGUAUUUUAACCUAUUCAAAACACUCGUUUACAUCUGAUAAAACACACCUACUCGUGUUUUAAAUAGUACUUAUACGGAUAUUGUGGCAAGUGGGUAUCUAAAUAUUGGGUAACUCAAAUAUACAAACAUUGUCUGAGAGUGGACCAAAACACCCUCAAACCUGUUUGCACUUUUCCAAUUCACCUUUUCUUAUUGGCUAUAGUUGUCCUUUUUCCUUUAUGUCCCCCGCCCUAAUCGGACGAAUUCUUGAAAAGAGCCUGAUGUACGUAAAAUUGAUUAAACGUUUACAUCAGUAUAAAUUGAAUUGCAGUAAUGGUGUUCGACGCAAAUGUUCCACAUUCCACUGUGUACAUGACGAUCUAGAUUGGUUUCUUUCAUCAACCAUUUUAGGCACAGUUUUUGUUGUUUGGCAUUUGACGAUACACAAACGGGACAAAAGCAACUAGCAAUUGAGUAAACCAGUUGUUAGACGCUUUUGUCUUGUUCGAUAAUCGUACACCCUCCGUGUAGCUAAAUCCAUAAGCACGACUGGACGUGAUUCAUGGUUGUUCAUUCAUAUUGUUCUUGAUUUCUGAAAUGU